rnacentral:lncRNA from 13 species
CCCGCGGGUCUUUGUGACAUGGUGGGGGAUUGAGUGUGACGCCCACAGCGGGGUGCGGGGCCGCAGCAUAUAACUUUGGGCUACAGCCAGGCCCUCCCCAGUAGGCACCAUGGCGCGCCCCAGGCAGCCGCGCCUGCUCCAACAGCUGCCUGGGACCUGGACUGGGAAUCCAACGCCGCCGACUGCUGCCCAUCAGAAUUAAAACAAGAAGACUAUAAAUACUUACAUACGUCCUCCAAAUUAGACAGAUACAAAAUAGCAAGACUGUUAACAGAAGAGGCAAUUAAGGUAAAUGCUCCUUGGGACUCAGUGGGGAGGGGGACACUUUUUUAAAAGAACAUUUGUUUUGGAACUUGGAGUCUGUUUGUCUGGUGUCUGAUGCACUGUGCCUGAGAGUUGCAGCCUUCUCCCUGUGGGACUUGGCUAGAGUUACAUUUAUUUGUUUGUUUAUUUAUUUUUGAGACAGUCUUGCUCUGUCGCCCAGGCUGGAGUACAGUGGCACAAUCUCAGCUCACUGCAACCUCCACCUCCUGGGCUCAAGCAAUUUCUGUGCCUCAGCCUCUUGAGUAGCUGGGACUACAGGUGCACGCCACCACACCUAGCUAAUUUUUUUAUUUAUUAGUAGAAUUGGAGGUUUCACUAUGUUGGCCAGGCUGGUCUUGAACUCCUGACCUCAGGUAAUCCUAGCACUUUGGGAGGCCGAGGCAGGAAGAUCAGAAGUUCGAGACCAGUCUGGCCAAUAGAGUGAAAACCCAUCUCUACUAAAAAUACAAAAAAUUAGCUGGGUAUGGUGGUGUGCACCUGUAAUCCCAGCUACUCAGGAGGCUGAGGCAGGAGAAUUGUGUGAACCAGGGAAGCAGAGGUUGCAAUUAGCCAAGAUCACGCCAUUGCACUCCAGCCCUGGUGACAGUGUGCGACUCUUGUCUCAAAAAAAAAAAAAAAAAAAAAAUUAGCCAGGCAUGGUGGCAGGGAGAAUUGCUUGAACCUGGAAGGUGGAGGUUGCAGUGAGCCAAGAUCACACCACUGCACUCUAGCCUGGGGUGG